UACGUAGGUGGCAAGCGUUGUCCGGAAUUAUUGGGCGUAAAGCGCGCGCAGGCGGUUCUUUAAGUCUGAUGUGAAAGCCCACGGCUCAACCGUGGAGGGUCAUUGGAAACUGGGGGGACUUGAGUGCAGGAGAGAAGAGUGGAAUUCCACGUGUAGCGGUGAAAUGCGUAGAGAUGUGGAGGAACACCAGUGGCGAAGGCGACUCUUUGGCCUGUAACUGACGCUGAGGCGCGAAAGCGUGGGGAGCAAACAGG
rnacentral:rRNA from 1 species